GGGGCUGUGGGCUAGCUUGGUCUAGGCUACGGGCUUCGGGCGCCCGUGACGGGAGUUCAAAUCUCCCCAGCCCCACCA
rnacentral:tRNA from 1 species